GUCCCUUUGGGGACAUCCGAUAAAAUUAGAAUGAUACAAAGGAGAUUAACAUGACCCUUACGUAAGAAUGACACACACAAAUCAAAAAACGAUUUAAAUAUAA